UUAUAUCACUUUCCUUGCCUGUAGAAGAAAUGUCCCGAAAUAUGGAUAAGAAAGGAAAAUGUCAGAAACUCGCUUGCACGACCCUGGGCACAGCCCAAGCUCGGCGGGCCCCGUAGCUGCGUCGCUGCCCCAACUGUCCUUUUCCGCAGCUAAGCGUACUUGCUAUUUAACGGAAAAUCUGGAGUGAGUCCGGAAUAGGAGGAGGAGAACGUUGAAAUGCCAAUGGCUGUGAGACCGAGAAGCACAGGGAUCCCACCUUGGUCUUCUUCGAUGGUAUCGUUAUCAUCGGUACCAGUUCGUAUGUGGUUCAAGUUCAAUACGAAUUCAUCAGCGAAUAGAAUUCCGUUUCUGAAAGCAAUUCGAAGUUCUCAAGCUCAAGCAUCAGCCUCCACUGUUUCUCGUAAACAGCGACGGCCUCAGAACGUAGACGGAGAGUUCUUUGUUGACCACACAUGCAUAGACUGCGAUGCUUGUCGAUGGAUGGCUCCGCAAACUUUCACACGAGUUGAUGAACAGUCCGCAGUUCUUAAACAACCAACAUGUGAAGAGGAACGACUAAAAGCUCUACAGGCAUUGAUUUCAUGUCCAACAAGCUCAAUCCGUACAGAGAAACCUCCUUCCGAUAUUCUACAUGUGCAGAAAACAUUUCCGCUUCCAAUAGAUGAGCAGAGUGUUCCAGGUGUUUAUCACUGUGGUUAUCAUUCUCCGAAAUCACAUGGGGCAGCUUCUUAUUUGAUUGUUCAUCCUGAAGGAAAUAUACUUAUAGACAGCCCAAGAUUCACGGAGAGACUUGCAAGUAAUAUUGAGAAGCUGGGUGGGGCACGUUACAUGUUUAUGACCCACGAGGAUGACAUAGCAGAUCAUGAGAGGUGGUCAAAGCGACUGAAGUGUGAUAGAAUUCUGCAUUCUCUAGAGGUUGAUGAUUCUACUGCAAAUGUAGAGAUAAAGCUAGAGGGGAGUGGCCCCUGGAGCCUUUUCGAGGACAUCCAACUCAUACACACUCCAGGCCACACAGAAGGAUCAGUCUGCUUGUUUUAUACGUCCCUCGAUAUUUUGUUCACUGGGGAUCAUCUGUUUAUGACCGAAUCUGGGCUGGACUUUUCAGAGAAGUUCAACUUUUAUUCAGUUCCCAUACAAUUGAACAAUGUUCGGUUUCUGUUAGACUUGGACUUCAGGUGGUUGCUACCUGGGUAUUCAAAAUGGCCAGUUGAACCAUUGAACCAAGAAUUUGGGUGUUGCACUGGCCCCAGUGCCCGGCUAAAUGGCUCAAUGGCUUAGUAUAUAUGUAUGAUAAAAUGGCUUGGUAUCAAAGAUUUUUAUAUCAGUGCUGCUGCUCGAGUUGUAUGCACACUUUCUGACUUUACUGGCGAAGCAGAUAACCAUUUGAAAGCUCAUGGAAGGAGACUUGAGUUCAAAGAUUACCAGGAGAAAAAUUCAAUUCUGGAAGCCUUCCUGCAGAAGAAGUGCAGUAAUAUAAUGGUGUACGCAUAACGCACUUCAUAAGUUUCAAAUCCGUUUGGUUGUAUAUGGUGGAUUGUAUACUGUAAUCUUAUUGUCUAUUCGCCCAAAACCUCACUGGGAUAAGAACUGGAUAUGAUUUUGGUUAUGGCCACGAUAGCUGAAGAGAAUUCGAAGGUAUAAAAACCUGCCAUGUAUGUAUGUAAUUUAUGUGUAAUAUAUGUGUGUAAUUUAUGUGU